rnacentral:rRNA from 1 species
UGAGGAAUAUUGGUCAAUGGGGGGAACCCUGAACCAGUCAUCCCGCGUGCAGGAAGACAGUUCUAUGGAUUGUAAACUGCUUUUCUUGGGGAAGAAUAAUGACGACGUGUCGUCAGAUGACGGUACCAGAGGAAUAAGCAUCGGCUAACUCCGUGCCAGCAGCCGCGGUAAUACGGAGGAUGAAAGCGUUAUCCGGAUGUAUUAGGUUUAAAGGGUGUGUAGGCGGAUGUAUAAGUCAGUGGUGAAAGUCAGCAGCUUAACUGUAGAAUUGCCAUUGAUACUGUAUGUCUUGAG